ensembl:lncRNA
CGCGCCGCCCGUGUGCGGGCCGUGCGAUCGCCGCUAACGGCCGGCCCCGCUCGGUGCGUUGCAGCCGGGAGCGCCUGGCACCGCGCUGACCGUCCGCCCGUGGAGCCGGCAGCGGAGGACGAGCGGCGGCACGACGAGGACCGGGACGACGACGACGAGGACGAGCGGAGCCUGCGGACGGCCCUCAAGAAGCUGCGGCUGGACGCGGCGCGGUGAGACGAGGAGGAGCAGCAGCAGCAGCAGCAGGACGACGACGAGGACGACGACGACGAGGACGAGGAGGAGCGCAGCCUGCGGACGGCCCUCCAGGAGCUGCGGGUGGACGCGGCGCGGUGUGAGAGGACUGCAGGAGGACCGGCCGGUCUCUCACGGCACGGACGUUCCAGGUCUCCUGUCCUGUAUCCUCCCACGUUUACGCACUGCGGCACAAAACACAAAACCCGGUCACACACACCAAAGACUCACGUCCGUUCCAGUGUUUGUGCUACAGCAGAACACGGCACAGAGGACAGACACAGUCCUCACUUUGAGGCCAGCCAUGGCAGAAGAGCCACAGCUGAACCUCUGCUGAACCACCGCUGCGGGGCCUGUGGGGAAGUCACGGGAGAACUGCCUCGCUCUGCCCUCAUCGUCUCACUCUGACUCACACAACAGCCAAACCUCACUUUUCCUUUCCUUAUCCACGCUUCACAGAUCCAUCUGUGAAACAGCCCUGUGCAGCCCUCCCGCAUCCCGUUCUGUGGAGGCUCACGCUUAUGUCAGUGACGUGACUGUGGAAGACCUGGCAGGGUACCUGGAACACCAUCUGCAUAUACCAAAGAAAAUGUCUGCCAUGGCAGAAAUGAUGUAUUCAUAACCAAACAGCAAAAACAGUCACAGUUCUAAGCGUUAUCAGAAAUUUAAAUGGCUCGUUUGUGCCAUAUUUGUAAUGUUCUGUUUCAUGUACAGUUUAGUUUUGUAAUUAAGAGAAAAACUGUACAUCGUUGCAUAGACUCCUGUGGCUGAAAUGAUGUAUACUUAACUGAAAGCCAUAUUCAGUCACAUAGUAAUACAGUUUAUUUUUGUAACUCAAAUAAAAACUGUAUAUAGUCUCAUAGACUGACAGAAUGGUUUGUUUCGGAAGGGGCCUCUAAGAUCACCUCGUUCCAACCCCCUGCUGCAGGUAGGGACACCUCCCUCGAGACCAGGCUGCUCACAGCCCCAUCCAGCCUGGCCUUGAAGGCCUCCAGGGAGGGGACAGUCACAAACUCGCUGGGGAACCUGUCCAGGAAUCUCUUCCUAGUCGCUGCUCUCAACCUACACUCUCCCACUUCAAAGCCGUUUCCCCUCGUGCAGUCGCUACCUGCCCUUGUAACAAGUUCCCCCCAGCUCUCCUGUAGGUGGGCUGUGAGCUGCCAGGGGGUCCUGGGGGGCACACAGCCAUCCCAACAUGAGGCCCCGUGGAGCCCCACAGCGAGCAGGGAUGUCCCCGUCUGCUCUGCGCACAAAGGACCCGCAGGCGCCCGAUGCAGCAGGGCCACCGCGCCGAUCCCACCCGCCCAUAAGGAAUACUCAAAAUUCAUUCCUCCACACUUUGCGACAGAGGGCUGAAGAAACUCACUUCUGUAUGGCAGGAAGGACCGUCCGUCCCUGUUGCGUCCCUCUGUGCGCUGCAAGGCGCGGUUGGAUCUCUGGCAGCCUGCUGGCUGCUGCUCCCAACCGCGGGGAACCGCACCGCGCCACUUCUGAAGAGAGAAAGGGAGAAACGGUGGUGGGAACGGGCAGCCAAGGUUUGCAGAGAGGUUCCAGAUCGUGCCACAGAUGGGAUAUCAGAGUGCUGAGACACUGAUUAUCACUAUGGGAAAAGACAGCCUGAGCCACGUCCACGUUGUUAGCCCAGGCUGUCAGCAGUGAGCGCUGAAUCCAACCGGUUACUGAGGUCACCAAGGACCAGCAGGGCUCCCCUUGCUCCGUCCCUUCCCCUUGAAAACAAGGAAACGGAAGCACCAAGCAGAAGAAGCCCAGCCAUACCUUGCCACUCACACGGCAGCAAUUGGAACCGCGGUCGUCUCCUUGCUGAGACAUGGCUGCUGAAGGCUCAGAGGAAGCUGAAGUUCCAGAGGCUCUCUCUGCAGGAACUUCCCCGGCCCUUGGAAAGAGCUGGCUUCCCUCUUCCUAAGACCGCCUCGAUCCCGGAAUCUCCCUUGGGACAAUAACCCUGCAGAG